rfam:Poecilia formosa, whole genome shotgun sequence.
CAAAAGGCUCUUUUAAGAGCCACAUCUGUCUGUUCGUCAUCUUUGU